UCGGGGUGAAGGAUAGUGGCGAACGGGUGAGUAACGCGUAAGUAACCUGCCCUCAAGUAGGGAAUAACUUUGAGAAAUUGGAGCUAAUACCGUAUGUGGUGGUAGGGGUAAUGCUCUAUCACUAAAGCCUUAGGGCGCUUGGGGAGGGGCUUGUGUCCGAUUAGCUAGUUGGUAGGGUAACGGCUUACCAAGGCGAUGAUCGGUAGCUGGUUUGAGAGGACGGCCAGCCACAUUGGGACUGAGACACGGCCCAGACUCCUAUGGGAGGCAGCAGCAAGGAAUAUUGUGCAAUGGGCGAAAGCCUGACACAGCGACACCGCGUGGGGGAUGAAGGCCUUCGGGUCGUAAACCCCUUUUCUCAGGGAAGAAUAAUGACGGUACCUGAGGAAUAAGUCUCGGCUAACUACGUGCCAGCAGCCGCGGUAAUACGUAGGAGGCGAGCGUUAUCCGGAUUUACUGGGCGUAAAGAGGGCGUAGGCGGCUUUUCAAGUCGGGUAUAAAAUCUCCUGGCUUAACUGGG
rnacentral:rRNA from 1 species